GAUAAAGAACGUAGCAAAAUGCGAUAAGUAAUGUGAAUUGCAGAAUUCAGUGAAUCAUCGAAUCUUUGAACGCACAUUGCGCCCGCUGGUAUUCCGGCGGGCAUGCCUGUUCGAGCGUCAUUUCAACCCUCAAGCCCCCGGGUUUGGUGUUGGGGAUCGGCUCUGCCCUUCUGGGCGGUGCCGCCCCCGAAAUACAUUGGCGGUCUCGCUGCAGCCUCCAUUGCGUAGUAGCUAACACCUCGCAACUGGAACGCGGCGCGGCCAUGCCGUAAAACCCCAACUUCUGAAUGUUGACCUCGGAUCAGGUAGGAAUACCCGCUGAACUUAAGCAUAUCAAUAAGCGGAGGA
rnacentral:misc_RNA from 1 species